CUAUGUAGUACAUGCGACUCGUCGCCAGAUGACGCCAUGUUUCAGAGCUAUGGGGAAGCGAAAAACUCCUUCAGCUUCCCCUUCUCCCUCGCCCCGAGAGCACCGCUCUCGCUCCUCAUUGUGUUUCUUGGCGCCGAUGACGACGGACGUCAGAGUUAUAUAAGUUUUAAAAUUUUUAAGUUUUAAGUUUUUUCUUGGCAAUGCCGAAGAGGAAGGACCCCGAUCAAGAGAGAAUUAGGCAGCUAGAGUGGGAGAACGACCUUUUACAACGGGAGUUGUAUCUGGCCAAAAGUAAAAUGAACGAGACAAACGCUUCCGAUUCCGAGGAGAGUCAAGCAGAUCUCACGCAAGAUCCGGACAUCGAGCCGCCGCCGCACAAGAAGACAAAGAAGGAUCUAGGCGAGUCUCCACCCGCUACUUCCGACACAACCGACGACACAGGGGACAAGGAGAAUGCGAGGGAUUCGGAGGACGAAGAGGAAAUCGCGUUUCUUGGGGAUAACCCAGCGACAACGAAAGGCUCGGAGGUUAAGUUGUCACCCGGCUUCUGUCAGAGAUUGAAGCUGUGGAUGACGACAGGCCUGAUUUAGGAGGAGAAAAAGACGUUGCUCGAUAGUAUUCCUAGAAAAGGAAAUUUCUCCUUUGAAGCACCUAUUCUAAAUGAGGAGGUUAUUAUAGGAAUGACAGAGAUCGCCAUUAAACGCGACGCAUUUUUCGUAAACCACCAAACGUUGGCGGGCUCAGCGUUGUCACAGGUGUCGGCAGUCCUUCAAGCCAUCUUCAAUGAUGACACACAGCCUGUACAACGCGACGACAUCUUGGAAAAGCUGUCCUCCAGCGUGAAACUGCUUGCGGAAUUGAUACGCACGUUGUCUGCCACGAGAAAAUCGUUCAUCACGCCCGGCUUCGAGAAAAAUAUGAGAUCGACCUUAGAAAAGGCCAUACCAGAGCAAUACCUGUUCGGUAAUAAGAUACAGGAGCUUGUGACAGGCACGGAGGCUUUGGUGAAGGUAUCAAAGCAAAUCAAAGCUCCGCCCGCAAAGAAGCCGUUACAGACAAACAAUUCUUUAAACUGGGCACGUGCUUCCGGGAAAAAAGAGGCGGGACGGACUGCACAGAGGAACAACCAACAACGGCAAACCGCCUCAAAGUCAUCAACUUCAACAAGCCCCAUACGCAGAAUCGACGUUACAACCAGUCGCAGCCCAUGCAGCAGACUUCAAGGACAUCGUACAGGUCACGACGCUAAACGUGGAGGAAACUCACGCAUCCUUUAGCGUCCCAGCUUUCACUGAUUGUCGGAGUAUUGUCCGGGAAGCAUACAGGCAGAAGGGCCUAGAAGAAGCGCCAGUUGAGAUUAUAGUAUCUUCGCUAUCCGAAAAUACUUAUAAACAGUACAAUUCAGCGCUGAAGACAUGGUGGUACCACUGUUCUGUAAAAGGAUACAAUCCUUACGAUGCCAAAGACAAAACAGUCUUAGAAUUUCUAGCUGAUAGGUUUAAUGCAGGGGCGGCAUACGGUACUUUGAACACAAUGAGAUCUGCGAUCUCCUUAAUAUCGUCGGACGAUAUCUCGAAUAAUAGUUCUAUUAAUAGGUUUUUCAAAGGAGUAUAUAGAUUAAGACCAACGGCACCCAAGUAUAAUAAAACCUGGGAUGUAGAUAUUGUAUUAAACAAAUUGGAAAAAGCACAUCCGCUUGCUUCGUUGGAUCUUAAAAGUUUGACAGAAAAAUUAGUUAUGUUAAUAGCUUUAGGGACAAGCUUUUGAGUUCAGUCAAUUGCGUUAAUUAGUUUAGACACUAUUUCCUUCAACUCAAAAGGGGCUGAAAUAAAGAUUAAAGAGUUAAUAAAAACGUCAAGGCCAGGGGCGUAUCAACCUUUCGCCGCAUUACCUUAUUUUAAAGAGAGACCAGGAGUUUGUAUUGCGAGCAUUUUACGCUAUUAUGUUGACUACACAAAAGCAAUUCGUGGCAAUACACAAAAAUUAAUCCUCACUUAUAAGAAACCUUACAAGGCAGCGUGCUCGUAAACUAUAAGUAGAUGGAUGAAGAAUGUUUUACACGAUUGCGGGAUCGAUAAAAGUUUCACGGGCCAUAGUACAAGGCAUGCGUCGACCUCCAAAGCCCUUAAAGAGGGACUAAGUAUUAGCGCGAUCAAAAAUGCAGCAGGAUGGUCACGCGAAUCGCAGGUCUUUGCAAAAUUUUAUAACAAGCCUAUUGAAUCUGUAGAAGAUAAUUUUGCAAAGGUUGUAUUUUGUUAAUUCCGAAUUACUAACAGUUUCCUUUUUCUAUUGAUGUUCGAAUGUUUUGUAUUAGAGAAUGGAUGAAUGAAUAAAUAUAUAUACAUGUAUAUAUGUACAAGGGGAGGUUUCUCUGAACAUCUACAUAGUUAAUCUCUUCGAACGACGAACGAAAUAUAAUUAAGGUUCAAACGAACUUACCUAAGUGACGUUCGAUCCAAAUUAUAUGAGUUCUCGUUCGAAGAGAUUAAAUUCCCUCCCAUUUGAAAAAUAUGCCCUCCCUUAAAAUAAACCUCUAAACUAUAAUGAGGAGCGAGAGCGGUGCUCUCGGGGCGAGGGAGAAGGGGAAGCUGAAGGAGUUUUUCGCUUCCCCAUAGCUCUGAAACAUGGCGUCAUCUGGCGACGAGUCGCAUGUACUACAUAGUUAAUCUCUUCGAACG